AGCUGUAUUAGCAAUACAGAUAGUUCUAAAAAAGGUUAAAGUUCAGAGCAGUGAACUUUAACCUUUUUAUCCCAUACUUUAUCAUGUAAAUUGCAUCUCUCAGAGAAAGGCUAUGGGUUUAUCAUCAUUGAUGCAACCAGUCCUGUCUGAAUUGACAUUAUUGAUAGUAGGGCUUAAAAACAUUUUGAUAAUCCUGCAUCUAAUGGUUGCAACACACCAGUGCAAUUAGAUGGAAAAAAACUCAAUCCUGAUGUUUGCUGAGAUUCCUUCACCUGGCAUUAUCAGUCAACAGAAGCCCCUUUUGGUUUUCUAUGUUUAUAGCUAGAUUGAAGUGUUUCAGUCAGUUGCCAAACUUUAUAACUGUCAUCCAUGCUUUCAUCGAGUCCUGUAUAGUGUUUAUAAAUUUACAUUGUUCAGUUACAGUAGAUAAUCUCUGGCAAGCUUCACUGAUGCCUUGUUCAUCAUCUGCCAUUUCAUCCUGCCUCAACACUUGCAAAAGAUCCUUCUGUUGUUUGAAAUACUCCAAUCAUCUGUUGCUGUAUAUGAAGUCCAUUAUAUCCAAUGGUGUAUUAUCAAACAAGCUCUGAGCAGCAGGUGUAAAGUCAAAACGGACUUCAUUGCAAAUGUUUUCGAUGCUUAUUUCAUCA
rnacentral:lncRNA from 1 species